rnacentral:ncRNA from 1 species
UUACCGGGACGACCCGGUGUACGACCUGUCAUGCCGGGGACGACCCCA